rnacentral:rRNA from 1 species
UACGUAGGGGGCUAGCGUUGCCCGGAUUUAUUGGGCGUAAAGAGCGUGUAGGCGGCCAUUUAGGUCCGGUGUGAAAACUCGAGGCUUAACCUCGAGAUGUCAUCGGAAACCAUUUGGCUAGAGUCCGGAAGAGGAGAGUGGAAUUCCUGGUGUAGCGGUGAAAUGCGCAGAUAUCAGGAAGAACACCAAUGGCGAAAGCAGCUCUCUGGGACGGUACUGACGCUGAGACGCGAAAGCGUGGGGAGCGAACAGG